rnacentral:lncRNA from 1 species
AAGCCCAAGUGAAAGGCUGAAGGAGAUGCUAAGGGAAAUGAAACCAAGGGGAGGACAAACCACAGAGAAGAUCUGCAAGGUUGUCUGCUAAACCUGCUCCUCCAAAGCCAGAGCCCAGGCCUAAAAGGACCCAAGAAGGGAGAGAAGGGACCCAAAGGGAAGAUGGGAGAAGCUGAUGCCGGCAAGGAGGGGAAUUGUCCUGCAGAAAAUGCAGCUGCCAACACAGAGCAGGCACAGAAAGCUGAAGGCGCUGGGGCUGCCAAGU